rnacentral:rRNA from 1 species
UACGGGGGGGGCAAGCGUUGUUCGGAAUUACUGGGCGUAAAGGGCUCGUAGGCGGCCAACUAAGUCGGACGUGAAAUCCCUCGGCUUAACCGGGGAACUGCGUCCGAUACUGGAUGGCUUGAGUAUGGGAGAGGGAUGCGGAAUUCCAGGUGUAGCGGUGAAAUGCGUAGAUAUCUGGAGGAACACCGGUGGCGAAGGCGGCAUCCUGGACCAACACUGACACUGAGGAGCGAAAGCCAGGGGAGCAAACGGG